rnacentral:tRNA from 1 species
UUAAUUGAAACCAAAUAGAGGUCUAUCAUUGUUAAUGAUAUUAAUGAAUUUAUUAUAUUCCAAUUAAA